rnacentral:rRNA from 1 species
UACGGGGGGGGCAAGCGUUGUUCGGAAUUACUGGGCGUAAAGGGCGCGUAGGCGGCCUGCUAAGUCGGAUGUGAAAUCCCUCGGCUCAACCGAGGAACUGCAUCCGAUACUGGCGGGCUUGAAUCCGGGAGAGGGAUGUGGAAUUCCAGGUGUAGCGGUGAAAUGCGUAGAUAUCUGGAGGAACACCGGUGGCGAAGGCGGCGUUCUGGACUGCAACUGACACUGAGGAACGAAAGCCAGGGGAGCAAACGGG